rnacentral:rRNA from 1 species
UACGUAGGGGGCGAGCGUUGUCCGGAUUUAUUGGGCGUAAAGAGCUCGUAGGCGGGCGUGUAAGUCGGAUGUGAAAUCCCCAGGCUUAACCUGGGAACUGCAUUCGAAACUACAUGUCUUGAAUACUCUAGAGGUUGGUGGAAUUCCAGGUGUAGAAGUGAAAUUCGUAGAUAUCUGGAGGAAUAUCAGAGGCGAAGGCGACCGACUGGGGAAGUAUUGACGCUGAGGUGCGAAAGCGUGGGGAGCAAACAGG